UCCUUGCGGCUCCGGCCCUUUUUUGCGGAGAGGCAGACUCCGUGCGUCGCCAUUUCUGGAAUAGGCGGCUGCUUUCAGUGCCUUUUCUGCGGGAGCCGCUUCGAGCCCCGGCGCCGGUGGUCGACCCCCGACUGAGCUCCGGGAGCUGCUCUCGCGCCCCGGUUCUCCGGCCCGGUGCUGGGUGGUCCGCUCGCCGGGGCUCUGGAGGCGUUCGGUUGGAUUUGGGUCGGGGGACCGGGCCGGACGGGCUCAGAGGAGAUGAGAGCCCGGCCUUGGCGGCCUUCAUCGUCCAGAGAGGGGCUCAGAUGAGCCCCUGCUGACUUGAGAGAGACCCAGCGAUUGCUGAGAAGAACUGGAAGAAGAGGGAAAAAAACAAACAGCCUCCAAACUCGGAAGCACCCCUUCACCAUGAGUAGCGCUGUGUUGGUGACUCGUCUCCCGGAUCCCAGCAGCAGCUUCCACGAGGAUGCCCCUCGGCCUCCUGUUCCAGGGGAAGAAGGGGAGACCCCAACGUGCCAGUCAGGGGUGGGCAAGGGCCAGACCGCCAAACCCAUGCCUGUCUCCACCAAUGCCAGGAGAAAUGAAGAUGGGCUGGGGGAGCCUGAGGGCCGGGCAUCCCCUGAUUCCCCUAUGACCAGGUGGACUAAGUCCUUGCACUCCUUGUUGGGCGACCAAGACGGUGCAUACCUCUUCCGGACUUUCCUGGAGAGGGAGAAAUGUGUGGAUACGCUGGACUUCUGGUUUGCCUGCAAUGGAUUCAGGCAGAUGAACCUGAAGGAUACCAAAACUUUGCGAGUAGCCAAAGCGAUCUACAAGAGGUACAUUGAGAACAACAGCAUUGUCUCCAAGCAGCUAAAACCUGCCACCAAGACCUACAUAAGAGAUGGCAUCAAGAAGCAGCAGAUUGACUCCAUCAUGUUUGACCAGGCGCAAACUGAGAUCCAGGCAGUGAUGGAGGAAAAUGCCUACCAGAUGUUUUUGACUUCUGAUAUAUACCUCGAAUAUGUGAGGAGUGGGGGAGAAAACACAGCUUACAUGAGUAACGGGGGACUGGGGAGUCUAAAAGUCUUGUGUGGCUACCUCCCCACCUUGAAUGAAGAAGAGGAGUGGACUUGUGCUGACUUCAAGUGCAAACUUUCGCCCACUGUGGUUGGCUUGUCCAGCAAAACUCUGAGAGCCACAGCAAGUGUGAGGUCCACAGAGACUGUUGAAAACGGAUACAGGUAAGAC